GAUGGACGCUGGCGGCGUGCCUAAUACAUGCAAGUCGAGCGAACGGAUUAAGAGCUUGCUCUUAUGAAGUUAGCGGCGGACGGGUGAGUAACACGUGGGUAACCUGCCCAUAAGACUGGGAUAACUCCGGGAAACCUGGGCUAAUACCGGAUAACCUUUUGAACCGCACGGUUCGAAAUUGAAAGGCGGCUCCGGCUGUUCCCUAUGGAUGGAACCGCGUCGCAUUAGCUAGUUGGUGAGGUAACGGCUCACCAAGGCAACGAUGCGCAGCCAACCUGAGAGGGUGAUCGGCCACACUGGGACUGAGACACGGCCCAGACUCCUACGGGAGGCAGCAGUAGGGAAUCUUCCGCAAUGGACGAAAGUCUGACGGAGCAACGCCGCGUGAGUGAUGAAGGCUUUCGGGUCGUAAAACUCUGUUGUUAGGGAAGAACAAGUGCUAGUUGAAUAAGCUGGCACCUUGACGGUACCUAACCAGAAAGCCACGGCUAACUACGUGCCAGCAGCCGCCGUAA
rnacentral:rRNA from 1 species